rnacentral:rRNA from 1 species
CCUACAGGAGGCAGCAGUGGGGAAUAUUGGGCAAUGGGCGAAAGCCUGACCCAGCAACGCCGCGUGAAGGAAGAAGGCUUUCGGGUUGUACACGUCUUUCGACAGGGCAGAGCAGUAGACGGUAUCUGUCGAAUAAGCUACGGCUAACUACGUACCAGCAGCCGCGUUAAUAAGGAGGUGGCAAGCGUUGUCCGGAUGUACGGGGUGGAAAGGGUGGGUAGCUGGGCUGACAAGUAAGAUGUGAAAUCCGGGGGCUCAACCCCCGAAUUGCAUUUGAAACUGUUGGUGUGGAGUAUGGGAGAGGCAGGAGGAAGUGCUAGUGUAGCGGUGAAAUGCGUAGAUAUUAGGAGGAACACCAGUGGCGAAGGCGGCCUGCUGGACGACAACUGACGGUGAGGCGCGAAAGCGUGGGGAGCAAACAGGAUUAGAUACCCGGGUAGUC